rnacentral:rRNA from 1 species
GACGAACGCUGGCGGCGUGCUUAACACAUGCAAGUCGAACGGAAAGGCCCUGCUUUUGUGGGGUGCUCGAGUGGCGAACGGGCGAGUAACACGUGAGUAACCUGCCCUUGACUUUGGGAUAACUUCAGGAAACUGGGGCUAAUACCGGAUAGGAGCUCCUGCUGCAUGGUGGGGGUUGGAAAGUUUCGGCGGUUGGGGAUGGACUCGCGGCUUAUCAGCUUGUUGGUGGGGUAGUGGCUUACCAAGGCUUUGACGGGUAGCCGGCCUGAGAGGGUGACCGGCCACAGUGGGACUGAGAUACGGCCCAGACUCCUACGGGAGGCAGCAGUGGGGAAUAUUGCACAAUGGGCGGAAGCCUGAUGCAGCAACGCCGCGUGCGGGAUGACGGCCUUCGGGUUGUAAACCGCUUUCGCCUGUGACGAAGCGUGAGUGACGGUAAUGGGUAAAGAAGCACCGGCUAACUACGUG